rnacentral:tRNA from 1 species
GGGCGCAUAACUCAGUUGGUUCAGAGUGGCUGCCUUACAAGCAGCAAGUCGGAGGUUCGAGUCCUUCUGUGCCCA